GAGUUUGAUCGUGGCUCAGAUUGAACGCUGGCGGCGUGCUUAACACAUGCAAGUCGAGCGGUAACAGGCGUAGCAAUACGUGCUGACGAGCGGCGAACGGGUGAGUAAUGCUUCGGAAUCUUCCCGGUGGUGGGGAAUAACUUGGGGAAACUCAAGCUAAUACCGCAUACGACCUACGGGUGAAAGCAGGGGAUCGCAAGACCUUGCGCCAUUGGAUGAGCCGAAGUCGGAUUAGCUAGUUGGUGGGGUAACGGCCUACCAAGGCGACGAUCCGUAGCUGGUCUGAGAGGACGACCAGCCACACUGGGACUGAGACACGGCCCAGACUCCUACGGGAGGCAGCAGUGGGGAAUAUUGGACAAUGGGGGCAACCCUGAUCCAGCGACGCCGCGUGUGUGAAGAAGGCCUGCGGGUUGUAAAGCACUCUUAGUGGGGAUGAAAAGCCGAAGGCUAAUACCUUUCGGUCUUGACCUAACCCAAAGAAAAAGCACCGGCUAACUCUGUGCCAGCCGCCGCCGUAAC
rnacentral:rRNA from 1 species